CCUACGGGCGGCUGCAGUGAGGAAUCGUACACAAUGGGGGAAACCCUGAUGUCGUGACACCGCGUGAAGGAUGAAGGUUUUCGGAUCGUAAACUUCUUUUCUGUGGGAGGAUUAUGACUUAACCACAGGAAUAAGCAUCGGCUAACUACGUGCCAGAAGCCUCGGUAAUACGUAGGAUGCGAGCGUUAUCCGGUCUUAUUGGGCGUAAAGAGCAUGUAGGCGGUCCAGUAAGUCCAAUCUUAAAUCCCACGGCCCAACCGUGGAACUGGAUUGGAUACUGCUAGACUUGAACACUUGCAGGGGUAAGCGGAAUCUACGGUGUAGGGGUAAAAUCCAUUGAUAUCGUAGAGAACACCAAUGGCGAAGGCAGCUUACUAGGCAGUCGUUGACGCUGAGAUGCGAAAGCGUGGGGAGCGAACGGGAUUAGAUACCCUAGUAGUC
rnacentral:rRNA from 1 species